rnacentral:tRNA from 1 species
GGUGGCGUAGCUGAGUGGGUUAAGCGCUGGCAUGGCAACCCAAAGGUCCCGGGUUCAAACCCCGGUGAGACCA